rnacentral:rRNA from 1 species
UACGUAGGGUGCAAGCGUUAAUCGGAAUUACUGGGCGUAAAGCGUGCGCAGGCGGUUGUGCAAGACCGAUGUGAAAUCCCCGGGCUUAACCUGGGAAUGGCCUUGGUGACUGCACGGCUAGAGUGUGUCAGAGGGGGGUAGAAUUCCACGUGUAGCAGUGAAAUGCGUAGAGAUGUGGAGGAAUACCGAUGGCGAAGGCAGCCCCCUGGGAUAACACUGACGCUCAUGCACGAAAGCGUGGGGAGCAAACAGG